GGCUUGAUGAGUCAGUCCAGUUUUGAGGCCCAUAAAGGGGCAGAGUAGAGUUUCUCUAAGUGAGUUUAUGCCUAUCUCUGCGGGUCAUGGAGUGCCCUCCUCUCUGCUGUCGCUGCUGUGGGGCAUGCCGCUGUGGUAUUAUUGCCACUCCAGUGCCUUCCACUGACCUCUCUGGUAUUCGCCACCCAAAUACUGCACAGAGCUGAUCCAGGCAUGCUAGCAG